CUAUUCAGUAUUCGACUCGCAAUCAAUAAAUUAAAUUCAUCAACCAAAAUUGUGUUGAUAUUUGAUUUUCAUUCCUUAAGAAGAACCGACUAGGUACCAAACAAUAAAUUAAACAACCGUACAAGAUCUGACUGGAACGGGAUAUAACAGUGUUAUAUAUCAACUAGGUACCUAGGUAUCAAUAAUUGUUCAUAUAACUGAUGAACUUUGAAUUUCAAUCAUCAAAAUUAACGAUAUAUACUCCUAAAAAAUGCUUAUAAUUAAAUGUAUAUUGUUGUGAAUGUAUAAUAAUAAUAUGACAAGUCUCAAAAUGUAUUAACGCUGAACAAUAGGUAUAGUAAAUUACAAAAUGACAAGUGUAAUAUUAUGUUUUCUAUUCAAAAAUUUGUCAUUGUUCGUUUGUAGAUGAGGUUAAUCCCACAUAGAAGAAUGAUAAAUGGUGAAAUCUAAAGUUUAUCGAUAGAGAAUUUUAUGCAGAUUCCAUUUAAAUGGUCAGUGUAAUGAAUUUUUCAGUAGUUAAAUAGAUAACUUUCAAAAAGCAUAAAAAAGCCAAAAAACAAUACAAAAUUAGCUUUAUCAAUAUUAUCAUAUAUUAUACAUUAAGAUAAUGAAUUAUUAAUUAGUAUAACCAUGGUUUUAGUUUUAUAAGGUUACCACUUCGAAUGUCUGAUAAACAAUUGCGGUUAUGUUCAAUUUUUACGUAAAUAAUAAUUAUACGUUAAUUUGAUAAUUUGUAUUUUUUUAAUUUUACUUUUUAGUAUUUACGUUCUAAGUAAUUAGUUUUUGUAUAAUUAAAUAAUAUGUUCUUUACCCUGUACAGUAUACAAAUUACAGAUUUAAACAGUUCUCUUUAGAUGUGGUCUUCAUCAGUCAUUCUUAUAGUCAUUGGAAACAACCGGUACAAUGUAUCGAUAAAUAAUUGAAACCAUUGCAAAAAACAAGUUAAAUUCAUGCUAUCUACAACAUUCAUAUUCAAAUCUUCAUAACUUAAAUCAUUUAGCAAGAUACACUAACUGAAGUAUACAUGUAUCCAGGCCAAUAAGGAGAUUAUUCUGUUUGGAAAAACAUCUGAAAAAACUGUUCCUACUAACAUAAUUGUUUAUCCGUUUGCAAAGAAGAGAUUCCAGAUAAAUUAAUAUAAUAGUGACUAACAUGGACUACUCAAAAAAGAUGUGUUGUUCGCAUACAAACUAAUCGCUAUCCAGCAAGCUGUCAAUAUUACUCUAUUGAUAAAUAUCUGACAAUUGAUUAUCAAACAAAGUUUGUCGGUUUAAAUGAAAUAAAAGAAAACUUGAUACAAAUAUUAUUGUGACAAUUAAUAUUAUUUUUUUUUACUUUAACUCCUUAUAAGGUGUAAAAGGCUUUUAUUUAUUGACUUUUUAAUGUGUCAACAAACUAAUUAAUUUUAUUAUUAUUUUUACACUAUUUAAAUCAAAUUUCAUCUAUAAAAACAAAAAAAUUGAAAUAGUGACUUCUUGUAUUAUGGAUAUUUACAUUCUUUUAACAAACUGUUUUGUAU